rnacentral:rRNA from 1 species
UACGAAGGGGGCUAGCGUUGCUCGGAAUCACUGGGCGUAAAGGGUGCGUAGGCGGGUCUUUAAGUCAGGGGUGAAAUCCUGGAGCUCAACUCCAGAACUGCCUUUGAUACUGAGGAUCUUGAGUUCGGGAGAGGUGAGUGGAACUGCGAGUGUAGAGGUGAAAUUCGUAGAUAUCGAGAGGAACACCGGUGGCGAAGGCGGGAUCCUGGGCCAGUACUGACGCUGAGGAGCGAAAGCGUGGGGAGCAAACAGG